UACGGAGGGGGCUAGCGUUGUUCGGAAUUACUGGGCGUAAAGCGCGCGUAGGCGGACCUGCAAGUCGGGGGUGAAAGCCCGAGGCUCAACCUCGGAACUGCCUUCGAUACUGCGGGUCUCGAGUCCGGGAGAGGUGAGUGGAAUUCCUAGUGUAGAGGUGAAAUUCGUAGAUAUUAGGGAGAACACCAGUGGCGAAGGCGGCUCACUGGCCCGGUACUGACGCUGAGGCGCGAAAGCGUGGGGAGCAAACAGG
rnacentral:rRNA from 1 species